UGGGGAAUAUCGCUCAAUGGGCGGAAGCCUGAAGCAGCGACGCCGCGUGAGGGAUGACGGCCUUCGGGUUGUAAACCUCUUUCAGCCCCGACGAAGCGCAAGUGACGGUAGGGGCAGAAGAAGCGCCGGCCAACUACGUGCCAGCAGCCGCGGUAAUACGUAGGGCGCAAGCGUUGUCCGGAAUUAUUGGGCGUAAAGAGCUCGUAGGCGGCUUGUCGCGUCGACUGUGAAAGCCCGGGGCUUAACUCCGGGUCUGCAGUCGAUACGGGCAGGCUAGAGUGCGGUAGGGGAGACUGGAAUUCCUGGUGUAGCGGUGAAAUGCGCAGAUAUCAGGAGGAACACCGGUGGCGAAGGCGGGUCUCUGGGCCGUUACUGACGCUGAGGAGCGAAAGCGUGGGGAGCGAACAG
rnacentral:rRNA from 1 species